rnacentral:lncRNA from 10 species
AGGCUCUGGAAUUUUAAAAGUGUAAACUAAAAAAAAAAAAAAAAAGUGAAUCACUGAAUCCAUUUUUUUUCUGAAAAUUUUCAGAAAUUUAUAAGCUACUAAAAUUUUUAAGGAAUUUAUAAGCUACCAAAAAAAGUAAUUUGGAUUCUUUAGUUGAAUGACCUAUGAUUUUUUUAAUGCUACUAUUGUUUUGUUGUAGCUGUUUUUAAUUUUUAGUCUUUAAAAUUAUUCAGUUUUUUU